UGCUCAUUUUCACUCAAUACUGAUCCAAGGAUGGUGUUAUUUUGCUUGUGAUGAAGAGUUGAUAUUAUAUAAGAUAUGAAUUUUACUAUUUCCAAUAAUCUUUCAGUGAAGGUUUCUUUCUCUCAACAACCAGAAAUUGUUAUUGAUACUACAUCAUCUAUAGAAGAUAUAAAAAUGUAUAUGGAAACUCUGCAAGCGACUAUUUUAUGUAAAGGAACUGACAUACACUAUAGAUUCACCUAAAUCG